CACACCUUCAGCAUUGAAGCCAUUUCUACGCAGACCUCAUCCUGCCAUCAUGAGAUUCCACCACAGAGCCGUCUUUCAAAUACUCCAAUGGUUAGAAAUUAUAUUGCACUCAUAUUUUGGUUUAAAAAGAUGAGUGGGUGUGCACACAUGUGUGUAUUCAGUUGUGGGAAUUCACCAAGAUAAUGGUAGUAUCUGGUGGAAGAAAACCCCAACGGCUGUCUGCCCUCCAACUCCAUCUUAUCUUUUAAUGUUUCUAAGAAAGUUUCUCAUCUGUUUCUCCCCAAAACUGGAGGUGGUAGUGGGAAGAGAAUUAAUGUAUUUUGAUUCUAGACACUUGAUACUACUUUAAUCAAUAGCCCUUAAGAUCAAGUGCCAUUAUUGCCAUUUUAAGGUGAAGACACUGGGUUCAAAUACUGGGAAGCUCACCAUUCAAAUAAAGCUCUCAGAGAGUAGAACUGUGUUUUGUUCACUUCUAUACCCAGACCACAGUUUCUGAGGUGUCAUGGGGACCCUCUCGGGAAAGCCCAGCUCACUGUGGGGACAAGGAUGAUGACUCAGAUUGGAAACUCAGGCCAAAUUUAAAGUGUUGGUGAAUGAGCCCAGGCAGAAGAUGGGGAAGGUCUGGAGAAGGCCUCCUCCAUGGGCUGGGCCAGGGUAUUGUCUGGAUUUCCUCAAUAAUAGGUUAUGGGGUUGCAAAGAAAAAUGGGCUUCAGAGUAGGAGAGAAAUACCCAUUCUGCCCAGUUACAAACUGUGUCAUUUUGUCAUCUCUUAUAUGGUCUCUCUGAGCUUUCAUUUUUCUAUCUAAAACAGCAAUAUCAUACUUAUCUCAGACAGCCAUGAGUACUGAAUCAGAGUAUUACAUGGUAUUAAAUGAGAGAAGCGUAGCUAUUCCUGGCCCAGAUCUUGGCAUACAAUGGAUGCUCCAUAAAUAUUUGCUUCUUCCCGCCAUUUCCCCUACUCCAAAGCAGUCAGAGACUUUCUUUAUAAGGUGAGAGGUUAAAAAGUAUAUUAAGUAUCACUGCAACCUCCAACAUUCACAAUCUCAGUGUCUUUAUGAAAUGGAACAGUAUCUAGAAAUGAUGAUUUAAAAAAAAAUUCAGAAUAAUGAAACAAGAAUAUGAUACAGUGGAAUUACUGUCUUCAUUUCACGUUUUUUUUUUUUCUCCCCUGUAAUUGAAACCAUUUUCAAGUUUUAUUUAGUACAAAAUUAAUUUCACAUUUUCAUCAAGGAACUCAUGUGGAUCCCAGGGUGAUUCAGAUUUUCCAAUACAGAAAUUCAUAGCGUUCAUUACUGGUAUUUUCAAAGACAAAAGAGUUUAUGCCAGAGGAAACCAUUUUGGUCCUGCCUUAUGAGCAAAAUAAAAAAAAAAAAACAAAACCAAAAAAAACCAACCCUUUUACAUGACACUUCCAAAUUCAGGCCUAACAUUAAUGUUUUGUAAGAAAGCUGCUUUAAAAAAACAAAAACAAAAAACAGUCUAUAGGCGUCUACUCAGCCCCAACUUUCUCAUUUCCCAAAUAAAAAACACAAUUUGAUUUACCUUAGAAAUAAACUGGUUUCCUCUUGAAUUGAACACAGAAACAAAUGACACUGGGCCCACUCGUCAGGGAGAAAUGCACAUCAUGUCAACAUGGGUGGAGUUCUGGCCACAGAAAGAGGAAAGUCGGCCUCCCUGACCCCAGGGCUGCUGUAUGCAGGUUUGUGCUAUAACACGGGGGGCCCCUCUAGGCUAGAUUCUGUCCCAAGCAAAGAAGAGCAGAGGUUGUGCUUUGGAACAUCAGACCUAUGCAUUUUAGGGGGCACUCUCUGCUUUUAGUUGCCAGAACAUAAUCCAAAGUCAGAAAAGCCAGCCAAGAAAGGACAGGUCGGCAGGGAGCAGUGGCCAUGGAAGGGUGAAUGGGUGACUUCUAGAUGCCCAUCCCCAGGGCUCACCAGCCCUGACCCUGAGAUCCUUCACCUGCUUCUCCCUAACGCUUGAAUCUAACCAUCCUCUUCCCAGGCCCUGUCCCCGGCUCUGGGACACCUCUCAGCAAUAUCCAGGUGUAGUCAUCCCUCUGUUUCCUAACACUGGGGAUUCUAACAUUUGUUCCAUGGCUUAACACUCUUAGUUCCUGCUCCCUCUUUGAGUUUUCAAUUGAGGUAAAAUUUACUUAACAUAAAAUCUACCAUUUUAACCAUUUUAAAAUGUACAAUUCAGGGUCUUUUGGUAAACUCACAGUGUUGUACAACCACCACCAGAAUUUUUUUUUUUUCUUUUUUGGUCCUCCGUCCAGGGCAGGCAUAAGUUCCUGGACCGGGGAUCAAACCCAUGCCACAGCAGUGAUAAUGCUGGACCCUUAA
rnacentral:lncRNA from 1 species